GUCCUGUGACUGCGUACCUUUUGUAUAAUGGGUCAGCGACUUAAUUUUAGUAGCAAGGUUAACCAUCUAGGGGAGCCGUAGGGAAACCGAGUCUUAACUGGGCGUCAUAGUUGCUAGGAUUAGACCCGAAACCGAGUGAUCUAGCCAUGGGCAGGUUGAAGAUUGAGUAACAUCAAUUGGAGGACCGAACCGACUAAUGUUGAAAAAUUAGCGGAUGACUUGUGGCUAGGGGUGAAAGGCCAAUCAAACUCGGAGAUAGCUGGUUCUCCCCGAAAGCUAUUUAGGUAGCGCCUCGGACGAAUACUACUGGGGGUAGAGCACUGUUAAGGCUAGGGGGUCAUCCCGACUUACCAACCCUUUGCAAACUCCGAAUACCAGUAAGUACUAUCCGGGAGACACACGGCGGGUGCUAACGUCCGUCGUGAAGAGGGAAACAACCCAGACCGCCAGCUAAGGUCCCAAAGUUAUAGCUAAGUGGGAAACGAUGUGGGAAGGCUCAGACAGCCAGGAUGUUGGCUUAGAAGCAGCCAUCAUUUAAAGAAAGCGUAAUAGCUCACUGGUCGAGUCGGCCUGCGCGGAAGAUUUAACGGGGCUAAGCUAUACACCGAAGCUGCGGCAAUGUGCUAUGCACAUUGGGUAGGGGAGCGUUCUGUAAGCCGUUGAAGGUGCAUUGUAAAGUGUGCUGGAGGUAUCAGAAGUGCGAAUGCUGACAUGAGUAACGACAAAGGGAGUGAA
rnacentral:rRNA from 1 species